CAACCCUCAAGCUUCGCUUGGUGAUGGGGACCGCCCUGGGGCGGCCCCGAAACACGUGGGCGCCGACGGCCGGCCCUGAGCGUAGCAAAACCCUCGCUCGGGACUCCGGUUGGCGGUCGCCCCGAUCCAAACUCACAA
rnacentral:misc_RNA from 1 species